UGUGUUCUUGGGGAUUUGGAGCACAUCUUCCUUCUGCUUCAUGCUUGCUGAUGCUCCUUUUCUCUAUGCUAUGUGAUGUAGGACCUCAUCCAAGAGGAUCUGCGUAGACUAAUAAGAUUGGAAGGUGUGUUGGGUAUGCACAACAGAGGACCUACAAAUAUGUCAGCAGCUCCUAUACUUAUCCUAGUAGGAUCUAAUCUGACCUACUAACCAUAUACUCAGUAUAGGAAUUCGAUAAAAUUUGAUCUUCCCUUUCGGAGUAACGGUUUUGAUUUUUAGAUAACAGUGACAGACCUAGGUGCCGCAAUGGAAACUAUAUAUAUGGUUAUGCAAUGAGAGCCAGGAUGGAACACUCGAAUUAAAAACAGGUCUAUCUGGCCAUUCAACACCGAGAGAUUGUCCCAUUUUCUUGUUUUUCUGAAUUCUGAGUGAAUAUAGCUGGCCUGUUGGUUGGCGGUGUUCAGUAUGACUGGUGCUCUUGAUUUGAGAAGACUCUACAACAUUGGCAACAUGACAAUUGGAAUGGUUCCUCCUCUGCUAAGUCACACAUGUCAUGGACAUUCAUAGCAAUAUACUCGAGCACAUCAUCCUAGAGAACAAUGAAAACAAGUCUUCCCUGCAUAGGUGAGUGAAAAAUCUUUUUGUGCCCAAGGUUCUAGCAACUUAUAGUGCUAAGAAAAUAAUCCAUCUGGAUGUGGUGACAACAGUGCAAUGGAUAUAGGCUUCUAAGUUAAAUAUUCUUUGCGGACUUGCUAAUAU